rnacentral:tRNA from 1 species
CAUUGAGAAGCUAAACUUUAAGCAUUAACCUUUUAAGUUAAAGAUUGGGAGUUGUGCCCUCCCCUCAAUGA